AAGUCAUGUUGAGGACAAUUUCUCAAAACGCAUUAGUAUCUCUCCCAAGCUUCAUAUAAGGAUUUUCCAUCUUCUUGUUGAAAAUUAGCAAUCCUUUUCUUAAGUUU